GAGUAACGCGUGGGUAACCUGCCUUACACCGGGGGAUAACAGAGGGAAACUUCUGCUAAUACCGCAUAAGACCACAGUACCGCAUGGUACAGAGGUAAAAGUUCCGGCGAUGUAAGAUGGACCCGCGUCUGAUUAGCCAGUUGGCGGGGUAACGGCCCACCAAAGCGACGAUCAGUAGCCGACCUGAGAGGGUGAUCGGCCACAUUGGGACUGAGACACGGCCCAAACUCCUACGGGAGGCAGCAGUGGGGAAUAUUGGGCAAUGGGCGCAAGCCUGAACCCCAGCGACGCCGCGUGAGUGAAGAAGUAUUUCGGUAUGUAAAGCUACUUUAAGCAGGGAAGAUAAUGACGGUACCUGCAGAAUAAGCACCGGCUAAAUACGUGCCAGCCGCCGC
rnacentral:rRNA from 1 species